AACGAACGCUGGCGGCGUGCCUAACACAUGCAAGUCGAGCGAGAAAGCCCGCAAGGGUGAGUACAGCGGCGCACGGGUGCGUAACACGUGAGUAAUCUGCCCUGAAGCCCGGAAUAACCUCCCGAAAGGGAAGCUAAUACCGGAUAAGCCCACGGGGUCCCCGGACCCCGAGAGAAAAGGCGGCCUCUGUAUACAAGCUGUCACUUCAGGAUGAGCUCGCGGCCCAUCAGCUAGUUGGCGGGGUAAUGGCCCACCAAGGCUACGACGGGUAGCUGGUCUGAGAGGACGAUCAGCCACACUGGAACUGAGACACGGUCCAGACUCCUACGGGAGGCAGCAGUGGGGAAUCUUGCGCAAUGGGCGAAAGCCUGACGCAGCAACGCCGCGUGUGUGAUGAAGGUCUUCGGAUCGUAAAGCACUGUCGCGAGGGACGAAUAAGGGCCGGGUGAACAAUCCGGUUCGAUGACGGUACCUCGAGAGGAAGCACCGGCUAACUCUGUGCCAGCAGCCGCGGUAAUACAGAGGGUGCAAGCGUUGUUCGGAAUUAUUGGGCGUAAAGCGCGUGUAGGCGGCCUGGCAAGUUGGGUGUGAAAGCCCUCGGCUUAACCGAGGAAGUGCGCCCAAAACUACGAGGCUUGAGUACCGGAGAGGGUGGCGGAAUUCCCGGUGUAGAGGUGAAAUUCGUAGAUAUCGGGAGGAACACCAGUGGCGAAGGCGGCCACCUGGACGGAUACUGACGCUGAGACGCGAAAGCGUGGGGAGCAAACAGGAUUAGAUACCCUGGUAGUCCACGCUGUAAACGAUGAGCGCUAGGUGUUGUGGGUGUUGACCCCUGCAGUGCCGCAGCUAACGCAUUAAGCGCUCCGCCUGGGAAGUACGGCCGCAAGGCUA
rnacentral:rRNA from 1 species